UACGUAGGCAGCAAGCGUUGUUCGGAAUUACUGGGCGUAAAGAGUGUGUAGGCGGUGCUCUAAGUUCGGUGUGAAAUCUCCCGCUUAACUGGGAGGGUGCGCCGGAAACUGGAGUGCUCGAGCGUGGGAGAGGGGGGUGGAAUUCCCAGUGUAGCGGUGAAAUGCGUAGAUAUCUGGAGGAACACCGGUGGCGAAGGCGGCAUCCUGGACCGGCAUUGACGCCUGAGGCGCGGAAAGCCAGGGGAGCAAACGGG
rnacentral:rRNA from 1 species